GUUCUCUAUCCAGACAACAAGGAACAAGAGCCAUUCUGUGUUUUAAUAAGCAUUGACUGACUUAUACCUGUGCCAGGAUAUCUUGACUCCAUGCAAGAUUCUCCUUCCUUUUCAACUUAGUGGUGUGUACACACGAACUUUUAAAAUUCAACAACAGAGUGAAGGACAUACUUAUCAAUGUCAUGAAGGGAGACAACUUUCUGAGGUUGUACAGACCAGUCUUUUCUGUCUGAAGCUGCACAGCACAGGAAGAGAGCAUUCACUUGCCUGAUGUCGAAUGUAAAACCAGUGGGCUUCAUCUCCAGAUGUCGCUUUGAUUGUUUUCAUUUAAAUUUUACGCUGGGCAUUUCAUCUGGUCUUGUAGUCGUUUCUUUUUAAGAACUGUUUGCUUCAGUGGGCUGUUUGUUUAAAUUAUAUAACUACUAGGUCACUCAAAAGAGGAAAAAACAUAAGCUUACUAAUGAAUUGAAAUUUUUUUCUGGAGCCUAAUUAUAUAAAAGAAGAAGUUAUAAGUAAUCAAGUUUUGGCGUGACAGAC
rnacentral:lncRNA from 1 species